GUGACAAGAGCACCAUUUGAACCCAGCUUUAUUCACAAGAGGGGUUUAUUGAAAAGAUGGAAAUUCAGUGGAGCUGGAUUUAAUCUAACAUCACCAAUAUGCUUCUAUUGACCAUCUAACUUAACUCUGAACAACCAUGGAAACUCUUGAACAUCACCCUGUGUGUGCCUCUCUCAUUUCUGCUAUGUUUGCCUGGGCCUUCUCCAUCCAACUGUCUAGAAUGAAGAUUCUUCCCCUUUGGGGUCUUAUAUUCUUCUGCUGCCUACUCACCAUGACUCUAGCCCAACAAUAUGAAAAUGUCCCAAGUAACCUGGAAGCAAACAAGCUACAGCUGGGUUAUUAUUGGAAGAACAAGUCUGGUAAAGCAGAAAAAGUCCAAGACCUGGAUUGUAAUUCUACCUCGGAGGCUUAUUCCUUGUGUUUAUACAAGUUUAUGGAACAGAGUAUCAUCAAUGCCCUCUUUGAUGCUUCAAAGACUGUGGAAACACCAGAUACUGCUAUUGGGAAGCUGAUGCAGAGAGCAGAAUCAAAACUUCAGCAAUUUCUUGACUCAUUUUAUGGAUGAGGAACUGAGGCUAACAGAAUAAAGUGACUGUCCCAGGAUCACAAGCUAGCAAAUUGUCUGAAGCCAGGCUUAAUAUUACCAAUGGCAAGCUUUUCCAAAUUAGAAUUCAGACAGUUAAGAAGCGGCCUCGCCUCUCUUCAAAAAUCCUGGUCAGAUUCAAUAUGGAAUUCAAAGUGCCAGUUACUAAACAAAUAAUCCUGCCACAUGUAAUCAUUGCCAUGCCAACUGAAGUCAGAGCAGAAAAAGAUGAGAAGAAUAAAAUCCAUCUGGCCCUUGGCUCCUUCAUCACUGAGGACAACCAUUUAAACAGCACAAUCACUUAAAUUGAUAUCCAAAUGAAUUUGGAAAAUGGUCCCCAUGCACUGACUGGAUUCCUGAAGAAACACCAAAUAGCAUUCAAAAAAUAAUUCCCCCCUGCUCACCAUUUCUUCUCUAUCUUGGAAGACUUUUCAGAUCCCAACUCUUGAUUAGCUGCUGAUGUCCAUAAUAAUUAGAUUACUGUUGACUGGGAGGAACACACAUUUCUUGGGAUGUACGUAAAGCUAUCAUCUUCUCUAGGUUUCAAUUGUGUUCUUUUACUGGUGCUCCUCUUAUAAUAAACCACCCUCUUUGGACCUGA